rnacentral:rRNA from 1 species
CGGUAAUACGUAGGGUGCAAGCGUUGAUCGGAGUUACUGGGCGUAAAGCGUGCGCAGGCGGUUUUGUAAGUCUGAUGUGAAAUCCCCGGGCUCAACCUGGGAAUUGCAUUGGAGACUGCAAGGCUAGAAUCUGGCAGAGGGGGAUAGAAUUCCACGUGUAGCAGUGAAAUGCGUAGAGAUGUGGAGGAACACCGAUGGCGAAGGCAGCCCCCUGGGUCAAGAUUGACGCUCAUGCACGAGAGCGUGGGGAGCAAACAGGAUUAGAUACCCUGGUAGUCCACGCCCUAAACGAUGUCUACUAGUUGUCGGGUCUUAAUUGACCCGGUAACGCAGCUAACGCGUGAAGUAGACCGCCUGGGGAGUACGGUCGCAAGAUUAAA